UACAGAGGUGGCAAGCGUUGUUCGGAAUUACUGGGCGUAAAGGGCGCGUAGGCGGUCUGCCAAGUCCCGUGUGAAAGCCCCCGGCUCAACCGGGGAACGGCGCGGGAAACUAGCAGACUUGAGUUCGGGAGAGGGAAGCGGAAUUCCGGGUGUAGCGGUGAAAUGCGCAGAUAUCCGGAGGAACACCGGUGGCGAAGGCGGCUUCCUGGACCGACACUGACGCUGAGGCGCGAAAGCUAGGGGAGCAAACGGG
rnacentral:rRNA from 1 species